rnacentral:rRNA from 1 species
UAGGGAAUUUUCGGCAAUGGGCGAAAGCCUGACCGAGCAACGCCGCGUGAGGGAAGAAGUUUUUCGGAAUGUAAACCUCUGUUAUAAAGGAAGAACGGUAUAUAUAGGGAAUGAUAUAUAAGUGACGGUACUUUAUGAGGAAGCCACGGCUAACUACGUGCCAGCAGCCGCGGUAAUACGUAGGUGGCGAGCGUUAUCCGGAAUCAUUGGGCGUAAAGAGGGAGCAGGCGGCAGCAAGGGUCUGCGGUGAAAGCCCGAAGCUAAACUUCGGCGAGCCGUGGAAACCGGGCAGCUAGAGUGCAGUAGAGGAUCGUGGAAUUCCAUGUGUAGCGGUGAAAUGCGUAGAUAUAUGGAGGAACACCAGUGGCGAAGGCGACGAUCUGGGCUGCAACUGACGCUCAGUCCCGAAAGCGUGGGGAGCAAAUAGG